CGCCGCCGCGCGGCCGCCGAGCCCGGCCGCGGAGCCCCCGCCGGGCUUGAAGGUCACCUCCGCCCGCUCGCCCCGCUCCGGAGCCGCUUUCGGCGGAGGCUGGCGAGCGGCAGCGCCUCCGCCCACAGCCGGCCAGGUCCCUGCCCGAGCGCCGCGGGGCUCCCGCUGGCCACGGCACAGCGCAGCAGCGGGAAGCCGCCCGCUUCGCUCGCCCCCUCCACCGGCCGCCGCUGCCCGCUCUGCCCGCGGGCGGGCCGGGGGCUCCGCUACCGGGCGGCGGCGGCGGGGGGGGCGCGGCGCGCAGCCGGGAGGGCGGGGAAGGGCUGAGGCGGCGGCGGCGGCGGCGGCGGCGAGGAGCCGCGUCCCGCUGCCACUUUCCCGGCGCGGCCGCUGGCUUCGGACGGGAGAGGCGCCGCGGUCGCCGCCCGCCUCUUUAUGGAAACUACACAGAAGCCCCAUGCAAGUGGUGCCUAUUGUUUUCAUGAUCGGAGACUUCUUUCUAAAGCUGCAUGCAGAUCCCUGA
rnacentral:lncRNA from 1 species